rnacentral:lncRNA from 1 species
GGGAAGGAACAGGUGUUUCCAUUAAUGACGAAGGACUAAGGAGGGAGACAACAUUACAGAGUAUAAAUGUCAUUGUCAGUCGACAUGUUUCAGUAUUUAUGGUAUGCCAUACAAACCCAAAUGGGUAUUGCUAGUAUCAUCUUCAACUUCAUCGUUUCAUGUCAAAACAGAUUUAGACGGAUAAAUGUAUGUUAAUUCAAUUUAUUAAAUCACUACGU